GGUAACAGGUCUUCGGAUGCUGACGAGUGGCGCACGGGUGCGUAACGCGUAUGCAACUUGCCCUCAACAGGAGAAUAGCCCGGAGAAAUUCGGAUUAAUGCUCCAUAGUAUAUACGGAUUGCAUGGUUUGUAUAUUAAAGCUACGGCGGUUGAGGAUGGGCAUGCGUCCUAUUAGCUAGUUGGAGGGGUAAUGGCUCACCAAGGCGACGAUAGGUAGGGGGCCUGAGAGGGUAAUCCCCCACACUGGUACUGAGACACGGACCAGACUCCUACGGGAGGCAGCAGUGAGGAAUAUUGGGCAAUGGACGCAAGUCUGACCCAGCCAUGCCGCGUGCAGGAUGACGGCCCUACGGGUUGUAAACUGCUUUUGUACAGGAAUAAACCCUUGAACGUGUUCAAGGCUGAAGGUACUGUAAGAAUAAGGAUCGGCUAACUCCGUGCCAGCAGCCGCGGUAAUACGGAGGAUCCAAGCGUUAUCCGGAUUUAUUGGGUUUAAAGGGUCCGCAGGCGGAUUAUUAAGUCAGUGGUGAAAUCCUACAGCUUAACUGUAGAACUGCCAUUGAUACUGGUAAUCUUGAGUAUAGUUGAGGUGGGCGGAAUGUGUCAUGUAGCGGUGAAAUGCAUAGAUAUGACACAGAACACCGAUUGCGAAGGCAGCUCACUAAGCUAUUACUGACGCUCAUGGACGAAAGCGUGGGGAGCAAACAGGAUUAGAUACCCUGGUAGUCCACGCCGUAAACGAUGAUCACUCGCUGUUGGCAAUACACUGUCAGCGGCCAAGCGAAAGCAUUAAGUGAUCCACCUGGGGAGUACGCCGGCNA
rnacentral:rRNA from 1 species